GCGUGCGAUUAUACCAGCAUUAAUGCGUCGGAAUUAUCAGAACUUUGAAAUUAUGUGUACUUGUGCGAGGGUAGCAGUAGGAUGAGUGAUCCCUGAGAAGUACUCGUAUAGCACCCU
rnacentral:rRNA from 1 species